UAUAAAAUAGCAGCAAGCGCACUGAUUCUCGAGUCAGUUUUAUUAAAUAAAUGCAAAGAAAAGGGCAACAGUUCUUUUGAAGAUGUACAAAACGAGCUCCUAAUGAAGGUGGCCAUUACAGAAAAAAAGUGGAAAUAAAAUCAAUGUUGUCAAAGUUUCAUAACGAUCCGAUAGGAGGAGGGUACACAUGGAUAACAAGAAACCCGUCCAAGAUAAGAAAAUAUUUAUAUAUACAUGACAUAAACCUCAAUAUUAAAAAACUCGUACUAAAUGGGUGGGCCAAAGGAUACACUGAAGCAUGUAAUCAAGAGGCGCAACUCGUACACACCGGUACAUUUUGGCCUGUAAGGGCCACGGGAAAUGCGAAUGAGAGCAUAACUUGGAUUGUAGGUCCAGAUAGCAGGAGUUAUUUUAACGAGACACCAGACGAGGCUGCUUCCGAUCCAUCAAAUGCCACCCUCAACUUCGCGGACGUGCUAUCUUCUUUCAACACGCAAUAUUGCAGCAAAUAUUUGCAUUGAUGCACCUCCGAACUAGGCACUAUCGACAUGUACUUGAGGUCUUAAUAUUCCUGUAUGAAGCUUGCAGAUAAGAAUCACCAAGCAAGGCAAGAUUAUGUUUUAUAGGGAGGCGAACUGAAAAUUCUCUGGAUGGAAGACGAGUAUAAUUUCUAUUUAAAUGCUCCUCCUUUGACAUCCUUGCAAUGGGCUCAGUGACAUGAUCAAUUUCCCAAAAACGAGCUGCUCUUUCGAUAGACGAUAAGUUGCGAUAUACGACGAGUUUUUUAGGGUGGGAUGGCCGCCACCAGAAAAAAUCCAACCGAGAUGGUUCUUUUGUAACGAGGAAAACCCAGGAGCGAGCUGAAUCUGAGUUGCUACCAAAAAAUAAACUAGCCCAUACAACAA